rnacentral:rRNA from 1 species
GACGAACGCUGGCGGCGCGCUUAACACAUGCAAGUCGAACGGAAAGGCCUGCUUUCCCUUGUGGAUUGCGGGUACUCGAGUGGCGAACGGGUGAGUAACACGUGAGUGAUCUGCCCCCAACUUGGGUAUAAGCCUGGGAAACUGGGUCUAAUUCCCGAUAGGACUGCAGGGUGGUGCCUGUGGUGGAAAACGAUUUUCUAGUGGUUGGGGAUGAGCUCGCGGCCUAUCAGCUUGUUGGUGGGGUAAUGGCCUACCAAGGCGGCGACGGGUAGCCGGCCUGGGAGGGUGGACGGCGACAUUGGGACUGGGAUACGGCCCAGACGCCUACGGGAGGCAGCAGUGGGGAAGAUUGCACAAUGGGCGGAAGCCUGAUGCAGCGACGCCGCGUGGGGGAUGACGGCCUUCGGGUUGUAAACUCCUUUCGACCGCGAGGAAGCCACCUGGUUGGAAGGGUGGUGACGGUAGUGGUAGAAGAAGCACCGGCUAACUACGUG